rnacentral:rRNA from 1 species
GGUUAUUUUAUUUUUAUUUAUAAGAUAAAAAGGUUUAAUAUUAAUAGUAAAAGGUUUAGAAAUUAUUUUAUAUUUGUACUGAGAAGGAAAAGUAAUAAAAUUUUUGUAUAGUAGAAAUUAAUUUUUGUAUCUUUUGUAUAAUGGUUUGAUAAUAUUAAUACAUGUAUUUGUAUUUCUCGAAAUAAAAAGAUUUAUUUAUUAUGUAUGUUAGUAUUAAAUAUUAAUAUUAAUAUGUGUUAGUUAACGUAGUAGAGUCAUUAUAUUAAUAAUAAAUGGUAGUGAUAUGCUAUUCGAUUUUUAAGAUAGCUAGUUUAUUAGUAAUUUCAUUUUAGUGAUAAUCUAAGUACAUUAUGAGAGUAGUUGAUUUAGAUUUAAAUAUUGGGGGAUAAGCUUCUUAUAGUGAGUGAGAUUUUAAAUAUAUUAUGUAUUUAAGUUGAGUUAAUAGUUUUUCUUAUUGUUAAUGUAUUUAUAUAUAGUGUUAUUUAUAUCUUAAUUAUUUUUAAUAUAAUAAAUAUUUUGUAAUUUUAUAAAAAUUAAUUAUAAUGUUUGAAUGAGUAUUUGUUAAUGUGUUGAAAUUAAUUUAUAUUUAUAACUAGAUGUUUUAAGUUAUAUUAGUUUACAUAUAAUUAAUUAAAAUAAAGGAAUUCAGCAAAUAUUAAUUUCGCCUGUUUAUCAAAAACAUGUCUCUUUGAUUUUUUAUAAUAAAGAGUUGGGCCUGCUCGGUGAGUAAUUUAACAGCUGCGGUAUUAUAACUGUACUAAGGUAGCAUAAUAAUUUGCCUUAUAAAUUGAGGCUAGAAUGAAUGGUUUGACGAAAAUUAUACUGUCUCUAUUUUAAUUGGUAGAAGUUAAUUUUUAAAGUGAAAAAGCUUAAAUAAUUUAAAGGGACGAGAAGACCCUAUUGAGCUUUUAUUAAAUAUGUAAAUUUAAUAUUAAUAUGUUAAUUGUUUUAGUAUUAUUUAUGUUAUUUUAAUUUUGAUUGGGGUGAUCAAGGAAUAAUAGUGUAGUAACUUCCUUAAUACUAAAUUUUAAUUAAAUAAUAAACCAAUAUUGUUGCUUAGAGAUAAGUUACCAUAGGGAUAACAGCGUAAUUUUCUUAGAGAGUUCAUAUUGAAAAGAGAGAUUGCGACCUCGAUGUUGGAUUAAAAUAACCAUUAAGUGAAGAGGCUUUAUUUGGUGAAUCUGUUCGAUUUUUAAAAUUUUACAUGAUCUGAGUUCAAACCGGUGUGAGCCAGGUUGGUUUUUAUCUUUUAAAAUUUAUAAUUAUUUAAUUUAGUACGAAAGGAUUGAUUAAGAUUAAUUUUAAUGAAUUAAUUUGAUAAGAUUAAUAAAGUUGGCAGAAAAUAUGCAAA